rnacentral:tRNA from 1 species
UGGCUCAGUUGGCAGAGCAUGGCACUUGCAAUGCCAGGGUUGUGGGUUUGAAUCUCAU